CGCAGGUAAGGUCACCAGGAGCUCAGACCCCUCAAGAAUGAGCGUUUGGGAAACACCACCACGCAAACCACUGAAACCAACAGAGUGAGGGAUUUUAGAGCAGGCAGUGGAGAAGGGACUUAAUGAGUACCAGUUUUGGCUGUGAGACCAACCACAGCUGUGGAGGCUGUAAUCUCUUUACUUCCUUCUUCUAACUUUCCCCUCAGGAAGAGGAGCCAACCAGAGCCCUGAUGGGGCCGCUCCCCACAUAUGUUAUGAAGUAGAUCCACGGACACACAAGGAUAACAAUUACUUAGAGGAAAUGAGAAACAUCGAAACAACCCUUUUGAUCAAACACAGUGACCAGAGUAUUUGGGGAAAAUGCUUAAUACCUGUGUGACCACCAAACAAUGUUCUCCUGCACUAUUGUGAUCAGACACAAUUUAAUAUCUGUGGAUAAAUAUUGCAAUUUUAAUAAACAUAAUAAAAAUAUUUCCUAUGAACAUA